rnacentral:rRNA from 1 species
UACGUAGGGGGCAAGCGUUGUCCGGAUUCAUUGGGCGUAAAGAGCUGGUAGGCGGCUAGAAAAGUCGGCUGUGAAAACUCGAGGCUCAACUUCGAGCUGUCGGUGGAAACUUUCUGGCUAGAGUCCGGAAGAGGAGAAUGGAAUUCCUGGUGUAGCGGUGAAAUGCGCAGAUAUCAGGAAGAACACCCGUGGCGAAGGCGGUUCUCUGGGACGGUACUGACGCUGAGACGCGAAAGCGUGGGGAGCGAACAGG